CCUACGGGCGGCAGCAGUGGGGAAUAUUGGGCAAUGGAGGCAACUCUGACCCAGCAACGCCGCGUGAAUGAUGAAGGUCUUCGGAUUGUAAAGUUCUGUGAUGGGGGAUGAACACAAUGACGGUACCCCAAUAGCAAGCCACGGCUAACUACGUGCCAGCAGCCGCGGAAAAACGUAGGUGGCAGGCGUUAUCGGGAAUGACUGGGGGUAAGGGGUGCGUGGGUGGUUAGUAAGUUGGCUGUGUAAUUCCGGGGCUCAACCUCGGCGCUACCGGCAAAACUAGUAGACUAGAGGGCAGGAGAGGUAAGUGGAAUUCCUAGUGUAGCGGUGGAAUGCGUAGAUAUUAGGAGGAACAUCAGGGGCGAAGGCGACUUACUAGACUGUAACUGACACUGAGGCACGAAAGCGUGGGGAGCAAACAGGAUUAGAUACCCUGGUAGUC
rnacentral:rRNA from 1 species